rnacentral:rRNA from 1 species
AACGUAGGACACGAGCGUUAUCCGGAGUUACUGGGCGUAAAGGGCGGGUAAGGUGGUGCGAUAAGACUGGUGUGAAGCCUUCGGCUUAACCGAGGGAGGACACUGGUGACUGUCGGACUUGAGGCAGAUAGAGGGGUGUAGAAUUCCGGGUGUAGUGGUGAAAUGCGUAGAUAUCUGGAGGAAUACCGGUGGCGAAGGCGGCAUCUGGACCGGUAUGACGCUGAGGCGCGAAAGC